CCUACGGGGGGCAGCAGUGAGGAAUAUUGGUCAAUGGACGAGAGUCUGAACCAGCCAAGUAGCGUGAAGGAUGACUGCCCUAUGGGUUGUAAACUUCUUUUAUAUGGGAAUAAAAUGUUCCACGUGUGGGAUUUUGUAUGUACCAUAUGAAUAAGGAUCGGCUAACUCCGUGCCAGCAGCCGCGGUAAUACGGAGGAUCCGAGCGUUAUCCGGAUUUAUUGGGUUUAAAGGGAGCGUAGGUGGUUUGUUAAGUCAGUUGUGAAAGUUUGCGGCUCAACCGUAAAAUUGCAGUUGAAACUGGCAGUCUUGAGUACAGUAGAGGUGGGCGGAAUGCGUGGUGUAGCGGUGAAAUGCUUAGAUAUCACGAAGAACUCCGAUUGCGAAGGCAGUUCACUGGACUGCAACUGACACUGAGGCUCGAAAGUGUGGGUAUCAAACAGGAUUAGAUACCCGGGUAGUC
rnacentral:rRNA from 1 species